CCUACGGGAGGCAGCAGUGGGGAAUAUUGGACAAUGGGCGAAAGCCUGAUCCAGCCAUGCCGCGUGUGUGAAGAAGGCCUUCGGGUUGUAAAGCACUUUCAGUGGGGAAGAAAGCCUUGGGGCUAAUACCCUCGAGGAAGGACAUCACCCACAGAAGAAGCACCGGCUAACUCCGUGCCAGCAGCCGCGGUAAUACGGAGGGUGCGAGCGUUAAUCGGAAUUACUGGGCGUAAAGCGCGCGUAGGCGGUCUGAUAAGCCGGUUGUGAAAGCCCCGGGCUCAACCUGGGAACGGCAUCCGGAACUGUCAGGCUAGAGUGCAGGAGAGGAAGGUAGAAUUCCCGGUGUAGCGGUGAAAUGCGUAGAGAUCGGGAGGAAUACCAGUGGCGAAGGCGGCCUUCUGGACUGACACUGACGCUGAGGUGCGAAAGCGUGGGUAGCAAAUAGGAUUAGAUACCCCAGUAGC
rnacentral:rRNA from 1 species